UUGAUUAGUCGCUGGUAAAAUUCCGAAAGGAUUUACGAGAGGAAAGUCCGGGCUCCAUAGAGCAAAGAUGCUAGAUAACGUCUAGUGAGGGUGACCUUAAGGAAAGUGCAACAGAAAAUAACCGCCACAUGACUUCUUUUUAGUUAUGUGUUGCAUGUGGCAAGGAUGAAAAGGCGAGGUAAGAGCUCACCGGCUUCAAGGUGACUUGAGGCGUCAGUGUAAACCCCAUCUGGAGCAACACCUAAAAUGGAUAUUAACACUUGCUCAGUGGUCCAAAAUUGCGUGGCUUGAGCUAUAUAGCAAUAUAUAGCCUAGAUAAAUGACUAAUUUAAAUGCCAGAACCCGGCUUACAGAUUUACUCUU
rnacentral:RNase_P_RNA from 1 species